GUGCUCACUUCAGCAGCACAUAUACUAAAAAUUGGAAUGAUACAGAGAAGAUUAGCAUGGCCCCUGAGCAAGGAUGACACACAAAAUAUGUGAAGCGUUCCAUAUUUUU
rnacentral:snRNA from 1 species